GACGAACGCUGGCGGCGUGCUUAACACAUGCAAGUCGAACGGAAAGGCCCUGCUUUUGUGGGGUGCUCGAGUUGCGAACGGGUGAGUAACACGUGAGUAACCUGCCCUUGACUUUGGGAUAACUUCAUGAAACUGGGGCUAAUACCGGAUAGGAGCUCCUGCUGCAUGGUGGGGGUUGGAAAGUUUCGGCGGUUGGGGAUGGACUCGCGGCUUAUCAGCUUGUUGGUGGGGUAGUGGCUUACCAAGGCUUUGACGGGUAGCCGGCCUGGGAGGGUGACCGGACAAAUUGGGACUGAGAUGCGGCCCAGACUCGUACGGGAGGCAGGAGAGGGGAAGAGUGCACAAGGGGCGGAAGGAUAAUGCAGCAAAGCAGCGUGGGGGAUGACGGCAAUGGGGUUGUAAAGCGCAGUCGCCUGUGACGAAACGUGAGUGACGGUAAUGGGUAAAGAAGCACCGGCUAACUACGUG
rnacentral:rRNA from 1 species